GAUGAACGCUGGCGGCGUGCCUAAUACAUGCAAGUCGAGCGAACGGACGAGAAGCUUGCUUCUCUGAUGUUAGCGGCGGACGGGUGAGUAACACGUGGAUAACCUACCUAUAAGACUGGGAUAACUUCGGGAAACCGGAGCUAAUACCGGAUGAUAUUUUGAACCGCAUGGUUCAAAAGUGAAAGACGGGCUUGCUGUCACUUAUAGAUGGAUCCGCGCUGCAUUAGCUAGUUGGUAAGGUAACGGCUUACCAAGGCAACGAUGCAUAGCCGACCUGAGAGGGUGAUCGGCCACACUGGAACUGAGACACGGUCCAGACUCCUACGGGAGGCAGCAGUAGGGAAUCUUCCGCAAUGGGCGAAAGCCUGACGGAGCAACGCCGCGUGAGUGAUGAAGGUCUUCGGAUCGUAAAACUCUGUUAUUAGGGAAGAACAUAUGUGUAAGUAACUGUGCACAUCUUGACGGUACCUAAUCAGAAAGCCACGGCUAACUACGUG
rnacentral:rRNA from 1 species